rnacentral:lncRNA from 1 species
GCUUGCUCAGAAACCACGAGCCGAAUCCCGGAUUUCGAAGGAUCACUUUGUCCAGACGUGUCGUCACUCGUCACAUGCAACCGGUAACUUUGCGGAAAUUACGGGCAGCUUUGUCAGAAAGCGCGUAAUUUGUACUAUUCAUCCAUCCACCGGCUGCCGACAAUGAGUGAGAGAACAGUUCCGGUUGUGAAGAAAAGCCCUAUAAGUAUCUACCUUCGCCUUCCACAGCAAAGACACACCCUCUCCGCACUUCUUCAUCUCCGAAAAUGCAUUCCCAAAGAAUCCUCCUAAGUUACUCUGUGUUCCUCAUUCCUUGGGAUACUCCUGAAAACAACCCAUUCAAAGCAAAAGUAUUUCAUAUCAUGAAGGUUGAAAGCAAGAGUAUCUCAUAUCAUGCUUUCUCCCUGUCCUUUCUCCAGCCAGCACUUGCUCUUGAGUACUCAUCAUCUUGUGUUUCCUCUUCGUCUCUUACGUAUAAGGGAAGUGAAGAUGAUACCUCGAAGCAUGUGGAGACAACGUGCUGAUUCAUCCUCAGCUAGGGACAAGGAGAAAGAGAGCAAGAGGUGGGCACUUGGAAAGAUUGAAGAAAGAAACAGAC